AUACGGAGGGUGCAAGCGUUGUUCGGAAUUAUUGGGCGUAAAGCGCGUGUAGGCGGUUUCUUAAGUCUGAUGUGAAAGCCCCGGGCUCAACCUGGGAAGUGCAUUGGAAACUGGGGGACUUGAGUACGGGAGAGGGUAGUGGAAUUCCUAGUGUAGGAGUGAAAUCCGUAGGUAUUAGGAGGAACACCGGUGGCGAAGGCGGCUACCUGGACCGAUACUGACGCUGAGACGCGAAGGUGCGGGGAUC
rnacentral:rRNA from 1 species